AUUGAACGCUGGCGGAAUGCUUUACACAUGCAAGUCGAACGGCAGCACGGGGGCAGCCCUGGUGGCGAGUGGCGAACGGGUGAGUAAUACAUCGGAACGUGCCCGGUCGUGGGGGAUAACGUAGCGAAAGUUACGCUAAUACCGCAUACGAUCUGAGGAUGAAAGCGGGUGACCUUCGGGCCUCGCGCGAUCGGAGCGGCCGAUGUCAGAUUAGGUAGUUGGUGGGGUAAAGGCCUACCAAUCCGACGAUCUGUAGCUGGUCUGAGAGGACGACCAGCCACACUGGGACUGAGACACGGCCCAGAGUCCUACGGGAGGCAGCAGUGGGGAAUUUUGGACAAUGGGCGCAAGCCUGAUCCAGCCAUUCCGCGUGCAGGACGAAGGCCUUCGGGUUGUAAACUGCUUUUGUACGGAACGAAAAGGCUCUGGCUAAUACCUGGGGCUCAUGACGGUACCGGAAGAAUAAGCACCGGCUAACUACGUG
rnacentral:rRNA from 1 species